rnacentral:rRNA from 1 species
GACGAACGCUGGCGGCGUGCUUAACACAUGCAAGUCGAGCGGUAAGGCUCCUUCGGGAGUACACGAGCGGCGAACGGGUGAGUAACACGUGAGCAACCUGCCCUUCACUUUGGGAUAACCACCGGAAACGGUGGCUAAUACCGAAUACGACCACUUCAGGCAUCUGAUGGUGGUGGAAAGUUCCGGCGGUGAAGGAUGAGCUCGCGGCCUAUCAGCUUGUUGGUGGGGUAAUGGCUCACCAAGGCUUCGACGGGUAGCCGGCCUGAGAGGGUGACCGGCCACACUGGGACUGAGACACGGCCCAGACUCCUACGGGAGGCAGCAGUGGGAAAUAUUGGACAAUGGGCGAAAGCCUGAUCCAGCAACGCCGCGUGAGGGAUGACGGCCUUCGGGUUGUAAACCUCUUUCAGCGGGGACGAAGCGAAAGUGACGGUACCCGCAGAAGAAGGACCGGCCAACUACGUGCCAGCCGCCGCUGUAAUAC